rnacentral:misc_RNA from 1 species
GAUGAAGAACGCAGCAAAAUGCGAUACUUGGUGUGAAUUGCAGAAUCCCGUGAACCAUCGAGUCUUUGAACGCAAGUUGCGCCCGAAGCCAUUAGGCCGAGGGCACGCCUGCCUGGGCGUCACACGUCGUUGCCCCCCCCAUCUACUCCUUCGGGAUUGCGGGGGGCGGAUGAUGGCCUCCCGUGCGCCUCGCCGCGCGGUUGGCAUAAAUGCCAAGUCCUCGGCGACGCACGCCACGACAAUCGGUGGUUGCGAAACCUCGGUUGCCCGUCGUGUGCGGUCGUCGCGCAUCGAGGGCUCGAAAAAAUUGCCGGGUUCCGGCUCGGCUUUCAACGCGACCCCAGGUCAGGCGGGGUUACCCGCUGAAUUUAAGCAUAUCAAUAAGCGGAGGA